rnacentral:snRNA from 1 species
CUGGACACUCAGGUCGAUAAGCACGAGUCUUUUGCCUUUUACUAAAGACUCCCAUGAUCUGAGAAACGUCCCACACAAAUCUUUGGACUGCCGAUCACUCGGCUUA